rnacentral:rRNA from 1 species
UACGGGGGGGGGCAAGCGUGUUCGGAAUUACUGGGCGUAAAGCGCGCGUAGGCGGCUUUUCAAGUCAGACGUGAAAGCCCCAGGCUUAACCUGGGAAUUGCGUUUGAUACUGUUAGGCUAGAGUGUGGAAGGGCACUGGAAUUCCGUGUGUAGCGGGUGAAAUGCGUAGAUAUACGGAGGAACACCAGCGGCGAAGGCGGGUAGCUGGGCCAACACUGACGCUGAUGCGCGAAAGCUAGGGUAGCAAACGGG